rnacentral:misc_RNA from 1 species
UUUUAGCCCGGAUUGAACGGUAUGUUUGAGCUCUUUUUGCUGCAAAGAAAAAGCUUGGCGCAAAAAAGCGAGUAGUGAAAGCUGGAAUAAGC